rnacentral:rRNA from 1 species
UACCAGCACCCCGAGUGGUCGGGACGAUUAUUGGGCCUAAAGCAUCCGUAGCCGGUCAUGCAAGUCCUCCGUUAAAUCCACCUGCUUAACAGAUGGGCUGCGGAGGAUACUACAAGGCUAGGAGGCGGAAGAGGCAAGCGGUACUCAGUGGGUAGGGGUAAAAUCCUCUGAUCCAUUGAAGACCACCAGUGGCGAAGGCGGCUUGCCAAUACGCGCUCGACGGUGAGGGAUGAAAGCUGGGGGAGC